rnacentral:rRNA from 1 species
GACGAACGCUGGCGGCGUGCUUAACACAUGCAAGUCGAACGGAAAGGCCCUGCUUUUGUGGGGUGCUCGAGUGGCGAACGGGUGAGUAACACGUGAGUAACCUGCCCUUGACUUUGGGAUAACUUCAGGAAACUGGGGCUAAUACCGGAUAGGAGCUCCUGCUGCAUGGUGGGGGUUGGAAAGUUUCGGCGGUUGGGGAUGGACUCGCGGCUUAUCAGCUUGUUGGUGGGGUAGUGGCUUACCAAGGCUUUGACGGGUAGCCGGCCUGAGAGGGUGACCGGCCACAUUGCGCCUGAGAUACGGCCCAGACUCCUACGGGAGGCAGCAGUGGGGAAUAUUGCACAAUGGGCGGAAGCCUGAUGCAGCAACGCCGCGUGCGGGAUGACGGCCUUCGGGUUGUAAACCGCUUUCGCAUGUGACGAAGCGUGAGUGACGGUAAUGGGUAAAGAAGCACCGGCUAACUACGUG